rnacentral:rRNA from 1 species
GAGGUGCUUGCACCUUAUCUUAGCGGCGGACGGGUGAGUAAUGCUUAGGAAUCUGCCUAUUAGUGGGGGACAACAUUCCGAAAGGAAUGCUAAUACCGCAUACGUCCUACGGGAGAAAGCAGGGGAUCUUCGGACCUUGCGCUAAUAGAUGAGCCUAAGUCGGAUUAGCUAGUUGGUGGGGUAAAGGCCUACCAAGGCGACGAUCUGUAGCGGGUCUGAGAGGAUGAUCCGCCACACUGGGACUGAGACACGGCCCAGACUCCUACGGGAGGCAGCAGUGGGGAAUAUUGGACAAUGGGGGGAACCCUGAUCCAGCCAUGCCGCGUGUGUGAAGAAGGCCUUAUGGUUGUAAAGCACUUUAAGCGAGGAGGAGGCUACUGAGACUAAUACUCUUGGAUAGUGGACGUUACUCGCAGAAUAAGCACCGGCUAACUCUGUGCCAGCAGCCGCGGUAAUACAGAGGGUGCGAGCGUUAAUCGGAUUUACUGGGCGUAAAGCGUGCGUAGGCGGCUUUUUAAGUCGGAUGUGAAAUCCCCGAGCUUAACUUGGGAAUUGCAUUCGAUACUGGGAAGCUAGAGUAUGGGAGAGGAUGGUAGAAUUCCAGGUGUAGCGGUGAAAUGCGUAGAGAUCUGGAGGAAUACCGAUGGCGAAGGCAGCCAUCUGGCCUAAUACUGACGCUGAGGUACGAAAGCAUGGGGAGCAAACAGGAUUAGAUACCCUGGUAGUCCAUGCCGUAAACGAUGUCUACUAGCCGUUGGGGCCUUUGAGGCUUUAGUGGCGCAGCUAACGCGAUAAGUAGACCGCCU